GUCCCUGUAGUGCAAUAGAUAGCGCGUUGGACUUCUAAUCCAAAGAUCGUGGGCUCAAAUUCCACCUGGAAUG